rnacentral:rRNA from 1 species
UACGUAGGGUGCGAGCGUUGUCCGGAAUUACUGGGCGUAAAGAGCUUGUAGGUGGUUUGUCGCGUUGUUCGUGAAAUCUCACGGCUUAACUGUGAGCGUGCGGGCGAUACGGGCAGACUAGAGUACUGCAGGGGAGACUGGAAUUCCUGGUGUAGCGGUGGAAUGCGCAGAUAUCAGGAGGAACACCGGCGGUGUAGACGCUUCUGGACCGUAGCUGACGCUGAGACACGAAAGCGUGGGUAGCAAACAGG